CCGUUGAAGUCAAACCUCAGGCUGGAUAAAAUACGAAUGGAGUGUUAUUGGGCGACUGUAGCAACACCCUCAAAAAUAUUUUUUUUCUGUUUUGUUUUCCCUUUUCCCGUCGAGUCAUACAAAUCCGCAAAGUAAUUGAAUGUUUUGUCAAUAUGAAGAGCGAUGAAAGCCUCAGGAAUUCUUUCUCAAGUGCGCGUUCGUAAGCGGCGAGAUGUUGGUCGUCCACUUGUUCCCACAGCGAACUCCUUCAAACAUGAGGGUGACCCGAUAUUCUCAUGUCCCAAAAGCAAGACGAAAUAUUACUCCACUUUCAACAGGAAAUAACUGACGAUAGUUGUUCGAGUAAAGAGACUUUUCCAUUAAAAUAUGCUUUCGGGUUAAAACAGCCCUAAAUAAGUGCUGUUUGAGUGAAAGUACCUUCUUUCUUGGCCAGGCUUUAAAUUUUGCUCGCUCUUGGUAAUGGACUAAUGAUCGGAGGCAAAUGGAGAUUUGCGACGAACUUUUCCCUAAUUGAGUUUUUGUUGCCGCAGAUUAGAAGCUUUAAAAAUGUUGCCUUUGUUUUCUACCCCGAAUACCGUUCAACUUCCCCGUUCGAUCAACAAAAUCGCCAAACCUUCUCCCUUGUAAAUGAAGGAAAUGAAAAGGCAACAUUUUUCGAUUACAAGGCGUCGAGUUUCCUCGCUUAUGGCCUCAAAUCAAUUUUUUUUUUCUUUUCAGUCAUCAGAGUGAUGUAUAUGCUAUAUGUCAUAAAAUAAUCACUUCCAUUUUGUUUUAUUCUAAUGCAUUUAGAGCAAAGCAAAUUUUAAUCCAUGAACCACCAAUCGAAACAGUGUAGCUCGAAAUUUAAUUGACAAUCUAAGAAAAAUUACAUGCAGCUGUUGUUUAGCAAGUAAAAUAAGCUUGUCAAAAUUGCCUAAGCUUGUAUUUUGAUGUAUAAAUCUUGAUUAAAGGAAAUUAAUGGGAAUGGAGCGAAUUUAGCUCCAUAAAUAAACAUAAUAACCAUAAUAUGAAGCGUUAUCGUUUCUUAUUUUUAAAACGCCCGUAUACAUGUAACUCGGCAAUCGCGCUUGUCAUCGAUAUGAUUUCAAAUCAAGAGAAACGAGCGAUUGUAAAUAAAUGUUUUGUAUACUCUAGUACGUUUACUGUGAAAAGUGCCAGAGAAACUGAGAAAACUCCUGUUAAAGGUAGUUAAAGGGGCUAGCACGGCUCUGGCCAAUUGGACAUAGAAGGGCUUUAAUUUUUAGAAGAAUGUAAACGAAACACAGACAACUUAUCACAAAGGGGUACUGGAUGUACACAGAAGCAUAUCACCUAUUCAAGGUGAUUUGCUUCUGAUGUACAAUAUUGGGGAGAUUAAAACAGAUUCCAUUCGGGUGAGCGUGAAAAACGUCGGCCGACUUUUUUCUUAAGGUUGUCUUAAUUUGUAUGGAAAUGUCAUUUGUAAUAUUCAGAAAUAAUCCUUGUUUGCUAUAGUUUCUAAUGUGGAAUCACUUGGCCAGAUAUAAACGCGCUUAACACUCUACGUACCUGUAGUAUACAUUCUUGGGCCGAUUGUAAACGAAACUGAGAAAACCAAAAUCUUGGCCUUUCGGUCACAGGUAUUGCCAGAGCUCUUGAUAUAAGAUAACCCACGCAGCAUAACAAACAAAAAAUACCUCAACACGGAAUUGUCUAGUGUUAAUGGUCGUUUGGUUUGCGUGAACAUAGUGCGUAGGCAAGUGAAGUUGAAGGGGGAAACAGUUAAUCCCCAAUAAAGGCCUUAUUCACUAGGUAAUCCUUCAACUUAUUUAUAGAUCACUAACAGUUGGAAAUCCCAGAAGGAUCUAUAAAUAGCCUAUUCUUUGACGCGGAUUUAGCUCAGGCGGACAGCCAAGGCAGCUUCAACCUGCACGAAAACAUGAAACGCGCCACAAGUCCGUCUUCGGUGUUCAGUUGAUUUUAUGGACGUUGAAGACGAUCUAAAAGCAAUGAUACCAACAUAUGGAAAAUGUCGGCGUGCAGAGGAGUAGGGUGGGGGUGUUUUUCGACAACGAUUCACUGCUGCGAAGGAGCUCUUAAAACGCCUACAUAAACAUGGGAAAUUUCGAUUUUACCUGAAAAUGCAGAUUGUGAAAACAUUGAUAAGUUUUGAAAGAGAAAAAAUAAUAUAUCUCAGGAGAGUGGAGUUUUAGUGGGACAAAGAUGGCACCUAGGAAUACGUAAAUCUGAAAAACGUUAAAUAAAAUUAAAUAGCAAGAAAUGAAGUAAUAAUCAAAAUUUCAGCGGAGGAUAUUAGCCCCGUUGCCGUUAUGUUCACCAGCCGGUUUUGAUUUCCAUUUUAAAAUCGAGCGAAUCAUCAAACUAAAGACGGCGUGACACCCAGGGAACAAGGUGAGAUGGAAGGAGGGAAAUGAAUGCAACACAAUAUUUUAUUUAACGGGGAACAAACGCUUAGCUUUAUAGUUUACAGAUAUGCCACGAGAAAUAAAUAAAUAAAUAAAUAAAUAAGAGGAAAAUAUGUAGUAAAAAUAUAUAAACCUAUUUACAGUUAAAAAUAAAGUUAUCACAGAAAAAGAACCAUUCACAGGAUAAGAAAACAAUUCGUGGAUGCUACGUUGUCUAAAGUAUUGACUAAUAAAGGUGUCGUGGUUAUUUAUAUCACUGAGAUAAUUGAUAUACUGCUUUGUUUUAGAUCGGGUCCUCCUCGCCGCGGGUGAUACAGAGGCUGCAUAAAAACAACUGGUCUUUACCACACUUAAUAGUACCAAAGCAAACAAAGCAAAAAACUCUGGUUUUCUGUGCAUAGUAGCCAGCGAUUAAUUUAGAUACAAAGUUCGUGUUUUGUCAUCUAAGUCAGUCACCUUUUUUAAAUUUCCCAGGACAAACAGAAUAGGAAAAUGGUUGGUGAGCCAAGCAUUUCGAUGAAAAAGGUCCCAUAUCAAUUACGUUCAGUGUUGUGCCUAUCAUAAGUUACUUGUUACACUGGCGAACAAGUCGACGUAGAGAGUGACCUAGUUGCAGUUAUGGUUGUAUGUCAAUUUAAUUCUACCCUAGUUGUUCAUUUUGUAAAUAAGAAAAUUUUCCUAAUAGUUAGAAAGAAAAGUUAUAAAUUCUCAUCGUACCAAGUUUUAAAAGAAGAAAUUGGAGCAUUCAGAAUCAGCAAGCCGGUUGGGUGUGGUUGGCAAGGUUCAAUAACUGACUACUUAACAGUAUUGUGCUGGAUCUAUCAGUUGAGGAAAUUCGAGCGAUAAUUUGUGUGUGCUUAUAUGAAGGAUGUCCUGCCCGAAGAUAAGCGGAAAGCCCACAAAAUGAAUUGCCGGGCCCGCAAGAAAAACACUCCGAACAAAGGUUGAUUUGCUCCUCUACUGGGCUGGGUUGUUCAAGAGCCGGUUGAUGUUAGCCCAGGAGUCAAAGUGAACCGAAGUAUUAAUUUUCCUUGAACAAAAACUAUUUUCACUGCUUAUCUUCUGGUCUCUUUCGUGUAGUUAGAGAUUAUUCCAACUCAAACCCGAGGGUCAAACAAUAUAAACAGAAAACCUCACUGAGAAGUUAUAAAAAUGAAAUCAAAAUUCUCGCAAAUCCUAGGGUUCGCUUAAUCGGGCUUUGCCCUGGAGUGCAAAUUUUCUUGUCAUUGUACAUUUUAACCAAUCACUGAACGACUAUCUCAUACUCUGUGCCGGAAAACUCGUUAUGGACUGGCACGUGAAGAUAUAACUUAACUGUAUUUAUGUUUAGUUUCAUUACCUAUAAUAUAUGACUCUCAUAGCUUCAGCCGGAAUUGAAAAUCGGAAACAACAAAAUACUCGCCGAUCCUGCGUUGUCGAUCUCCUACAGAAGGAAAUGAAAAUGUUUUGGCAUGAAACAUGAGAUAUUUUUUUCUUUGCGUAAUACCGACACAGAUCGAAUCCCACGAUCAAACUGUUCCUUUCAAUGUGAGCCUUUCUAGGACCUCGUUCUCUCAUUUCGUUGAAGGGAAAUUAAAAUGGGCCCAUUUAGACAUCAAAGCUAUUUACAGGAUCAUGUCCUGCACUGCGGUUCGGAUUGGCUUUUUCUCGGCACGAAUUGACAAUGAAGAGCGUAUAAAGCAUUUUUAUGUUAACAAAUCUAAUGAAGAACCAAGGCAGGUGUUUAGAAGCAAAGAAAUUAUUCAGAAUAGCCAAAAAGUGUUAUUCUUUUACAUGGUAAUAAAGCUAGACUAAAGCGAAAUCUAAUUUUGAUUUAAAUUUUUACAGAGUUUUCAAUAGCAAUGCGAACUUCAAAGCAUCCCGAGUUCGAUUAUGAAUUUAUGACUUUGCUCAUUAGAACCAGUUCGAUUUCGCAAACAUUAGUAAUGGCGAAUGUUUACGUAAAAUAUCCGCGAAAUUGAAAAUUUAUUCCAUUUUGUUCACGUUUCGCGCAAAUAAUGGCUUGUUUGAUCAACUUGUUCGCUUCAUCUGCUUAUCAAGACAACUAAGUUCAUUGGUGGGUCUGUAAGAUAAACAUCACUGACUCCUUUAACAAACUCUCUGGAAAUUAAAAAGAAGAUACAUGGCUCCGUCGAAAGAUCGAUUCUUAAAUUCAUAGAAAACACAACAUCCGUUUGACACCGAGAUCACAUUUAGGGAAUUGUGAAAUACGGGGUAAUAUAAACUCAGGGAAAGCAUCGCAUUUAUACUGGUCCACAAGCGUAAGAUAUAAUGGUGUUAUGAUAGACAGAAUUCUUUCUUGACAGCUGUCAAAACGAAGGCGGGUUAUGCUACUUGUAAACCUGGCUCUAUUUUUUGCAUAAAUUGCUACGAGUCGUAAGUGUUGUAGAAAACUUUUAGUAAUGAGAGGAAGCAAUAAAAGGCUUUUUUUAUCUUUUGAGCUUGCCAAAGCAUUUAACCAACGGGAAAGAACUAACAGGCGAUAAAAAAGAAAGAUCUAUUUUUUUUCCUGCUAUUUACAGAAGUUAAACGUCCUGCUAUCAAAUAUAUUUAUAUCUUUCCUUUUACCGAAGAUAGUUCAGGCACAUCGUGUAUGGCGUCGAAUUUUCAGUCAUCAAACGAAUCAAGAAAACAUUGGCUAGAUUCAGGAAAUCUUUUGGGAGAGGAAAGUAAAAAAAGACAGAAGCAAAUAACAAAAACAAUACCCUUGCAAAAGUUGCAAGCGAAAGUCCGGUGUGCUAUUCUUUCAAAAGCCCACGCAGUAGAAUUUACGUUGAAGAAAGACAUGUUCUAAAAAAAGAGUGCCCACAAAAUUCACAUGAUUUUUCCCUUUCCGGUGAAAACUCCUCACUGAAAAACAGUGUCAAACUCUUUAACGGUAAAGGUGCUUUUCUUUUUCUCUUAGAUGUGUUCCACUUGUACACAAUAAAAUUGGCCGGGCCAGGCAUGACUGAACUGACGGUUCUUUUGUUUCACCUCAGCAUCUGAUUCCCAAGACACCUAAUGUUACACCUACCUUUAGUUAUCUAGUCCUUUUCUAAGUAUUCCGCUUGAAGCAGACAAAUCCGGUCUGUAAGAACAGCAAAUUGACUGAGAAAUUUCCAUUUUUGGCCUUUUAAGAACUUUAAACAAACACCGUCGAAAGCGACACGCUUGAUAAGUGGCGUUUUCAAAAGCUCGACAGUAAACUGCAGUUCCCAUUGGCUAACAGAUCUGGUAUAAACCAGUCUCACUUAUGACAUUCAGAUAAUGGAGAUUUUAAUGGCCAAGCAAGUGAUCCGGAAAGUAGGAAAUUUGGUGCCCUCUUUUAUGGAUGAAAAUAUACUCAAUUAUCGCCGCCGGGACAAAUUGACUUUCCGCGAAUGAAUCUCGCAUCCCAACCAUCUGCUCACGCGAUUAUGAUGUCCCUUGACCCAAAAUGAAAUUUAUCCCCAAACUGACUUUUGUCAAAUGAGCGUUUGAUUGACUGGUCAUUUCGACUUGUUUUGCUCGAGUUUUAAUAGUGGACUGACAUAUGUGCUGAUUAUAGAUAUCCCGGUAGCUCAGGUCAAAC